rnacentral:lncRNA from 1 species
AUGGACUAUAGCCCCCUAGGCUCCUCUCGCCAUGGGAUAUCCCAGGCAAGAAUACACAGCAGGUUGCCAUUUCCUUCUCCAGGGGAUCUUCCUGACCCAGGGAUAGAACUCGUGUCUCUUGUGUCUCCUCCAUUGGCAGGUGGAUUCUUUAUCACUGAGCCAUAUAACUUGCAUCUUCCGCUUGUAUCCAUACUAUACCCAAUCCAUUCCACUUAUCUUAGACUUCCCAAUUCUUCAAAGCCCAGUCCAGUCACAUCUUCUCAUACACAUCUGGAAAUACACUUCCAUGUGCCAUUUCCCCAUGGUUUUCCAGAUCAUAAAACUCUCAAGGAUUUAAAAUCAAAGCUUAACACAAAAAGAAAAGAUAUGAUAGUCUUCUCCUUAAUAUAUGUUUCUUCCAGGCUUGUUUGUAUCAACAGCCCAAGAGUAUUGAGUUAUUAACUACACAUUUCUUGUAGCUUUUAUUAAAGAGAAAAAUAAAAAGGAAAGAAGAAAAAAAGAAAAGCAAACUGUUUCUUUUGAUCAAAAGUCCCCCACAAAGAAUUUAAAGAAUUAAGCAAAUGAUAGCAAAAUAAAAGGAAGGUCGACUCUUGGGCUCUUGGCAAACUAGAUAGCUUCCAUAUGAACAACAUAUAAAGUUCAGUUUUUAAAGAACAUAUGUGUUUGCUCACUGGUUUAGAGGGAAAAAACUUGAAUCCUGUCUACUCCGUAUAUACAGAUCAAAAUCAGAUCGCUUAAGUGAACUAUAAAACGCAAGAGGACAUUGUUUAUCCAAUCGCAAACCCAAGAAUUGCUGGAGUUUAAAGUUUUCUGUUUCUACUUCAAUGGUAGGUCACUUUUUUUGUAAACUGCUUCUAACUUCAUAAACCCAAUGUCAAAUUCUGUUCUUUGCUAUCCAUGUCUAUUUAAUUUGCUCUCUCUGAAUUGAUUAUUCCUGAAUCUUUAAAGGUAUUUUUGGACAUCUUAAAUCCUUUUGAGAUUUAAAUGUCAUCACCUUCAAACAACUCCCAUCAAAUAAAUCUCUUAUUAAUUCACAUCAAAUUAAUCCAUAAUGAUCACUUCUAUUAACAUAUGCUUCAGAGCACAAAGCCCAUUAAUAGUCAUCUGGACACUAGAACUAACCAGAGCUUUAGUGAGAUAAAAUGCACACUAUUUAGAUAUCCGAUUUCAAAGAGUUCUGAUGCUGGCCCAAAUACAUUUUAUUAGGCUUUUAUUUCAUCAUGCUAUGUGCUCUAUAUUUUAAAUAUCUCAUAUCAAAUGUACUAGUCUAGGUAAAAGGAGAUAGUCGACUAAAUAAGUAAUAAUGUCAUAUUUGCCAAAAUGAGUAUCCAUGUAUAUAUAUACAUCUUAGAGAAAGAAUUUCAGUAAGUACUUACUCCUAUUAAACAAUUGCAAAAAAAAUGGGGGGGGUGGAGUUUGACUUUAAAGACUUUUAGACAUUUAAAAGUCUAAAUGAAACUGUAGGAGAAUCCUGAAAAAAAUGAAGCAUGCGCCUACUUCAUUAAUGGGAAAACUGAAACAGAGUAAGUGUACAUUAUGGAAAAUCAAAGAGAAAGGAUCAUUAUUUUCCCCUUCAUAACAGGUGAGAGGCAAAUGUAUUAAAAACUCUGAUUUGAAUAAGAUCACAAUUUCACUAAGCAAAUUAAGAAACAUUACUAUUCAUUGCCCAUACAUAUGUCAUUCUUCCUUUUGUUUUCCUCUGCAAGAAAAAAAAAAAAACAAUUUAAAAAAAUCUACAAUGACAACUGUUGAUUCAAACAGGCCAAUCUGACUUUGCAUGUUUGCCUGAGCCAGGCUCAACUUUAUCCUUUCUUCUUUGUUAAACUGAGACUGUUCCAACUGGUCCAAGGGCAAAGACCCAAACAUAGCACUUCAGUUCAAAAAGAACAGCUCAUGGAAAAGUAUGCAUGCAUCUCUUUAUCUAGAUGGUUAUGAGAGAAAUUGACAUUUCAUUUGUAUGUAAAUUGGAUUUCUACUGAUAACAAAAAUAAUUAGUGUUGUGCUCUGUAGGAAUGCCUUUGACUUUCUUCCUAGCAUUUGCCAAAAUACAUCUUUGUAUAUUAAAGGUAGUUUACUUUUAAUAUAUCAAUGUUGCUUUGUCUGUUUUCCAAUCUGUUGUUCAAUUGAAAAGAAAGUCUCAAUUACCUCAAUCCAGCUCUGUAACUGGUGAACAGCUGUCUCAGUCCUCCCAUAAGAAAUCUGUAUCAGUCACUGCAAAUCCAUUUGGUAAAUUAACAUGCAGGUACAAUAUGGUGACUUUAACGGAUGCAUGCCAUGACAAUUCAAUAAGAAUGCUCACCAUCGUCACAUAACUGCUUAACCAAGCGUAUUAGGCAAAGUUUUGGCUCAUGUUUUAAAAUUCAUUUGUUUUUGGCCGUGCUGGGUCUUCACUGCUAUGCACGGGUUCUCUUUUUAGUUGAGGAGAGCCAGGGCUACUCUUCAUUGUGAUUUUCUUCAUUUUUUUUAAGAGUACAAAACCAGAUACAAGAUUAAAACAAUUGCCAUGAAGGAUAUUGAGAGCUAAUACUGGUUUUAUAUAUAAGAAAGCGAAAGUUGCUCAGUCCUGUCUGACUCUUUGUGACCCCAAGGACUAUACAGUCCAUGGAAUUCUCCAGGCCAGAAUACGGAGUCAGACACAACUGAGCGACUUCACUUUCCCUUUUCACUUUCAUGCAUUGGAGAAGGAAAUGGCAACUCACUCCAGUAUUGUUGCCUGGAGAAUCCCAGGGACAGGGGAGCCUGGUGGGCUGCGGUCUAUGGGGUCGCCCUAGUGUUAACUGAUUCCUUAAAGUAAAUCUCUUUAUACAUAUAUACAUGUAUAUGUAUAUAUAUGUUUAUAUCUGUAUACAUGUAAAUCAUUUUAUAUUUGUGUACACACACGCGCACACACACACACACACAACCCCCU